GCCUUCGUGGUGUAGCGGUCAGCACGCUCGAUGCGUAACCCAGAGGUCCGUGGUUCGAUUCCCGGCGAGGGCA
rnacentral:tRNA from 1 species